AGAGUUUGAUCCUGGCUCAGGACGAACGCUGGCGGCACGCUUAACACAUGCAAGUCGAACGAGAGAAGAGGAGCUUGCUUUUCUGAUCUAGUGGCGGACGGGUGAGUAACACGUGAGCAAUCUGCCUUUCAGAGGGGGAUACCGAUUGGAAACGAUCGUUAAUACCGCAUAACAUAAUUGAACCGCAUGAUUUGAUUAUCAAAGAUUUAUCGCUGAAAGAUGAACUCGCGUCUGAUUAGCUAGUUGGUAAGGUAACGGCUUACCAAGGCGACGAUCAGUAGCCGGACUGAGAGGUUGAUCGGCCACAUUGGGACUGAGACACGGCCCAGACUCCUACGGGAGGCAGCAGUGGGGAAUAUUGCACAAUGGAGGAAACUCUGAUGCAGCGAUGCCGCGUGAGGGAAGAAGGUUUUAGGAUUGUAAACCUCUGUCUUCAGGGACGAAAAAAGACGGUACCUGAGGAGGAAGCUCCGGCUAACUACGUGCCAGCAGCCGCGGUAAUACGUAGGGAGCGAGCGUUGUCCGGAAUUACUGGGUGUAAAGGGAGCGUAGGCGGGAUCGCAAGUCAGAUGUGAAAACUAUGGGCUUAACCCAUAAACUGCAUUUGAAACUGUGGUUCUUGAGUGAAGUAGAGGUAAGCGGAAUUCCUAGUGUAGCGGUGAAAUGCGUAGAUAUUAGGAGGAACAUCAGUGGCGAAGGCGGCUUACUGGGCUUUAACUGACGCUGAGGCUCGAAAGCGUGGGGAGCAAACAGGAUUAGAUACCCUGGUAGUCCACGCCGUAAACGAUGAUUACUAGGUGUGGGGGGACUGACCCCUUCCGUGCCGCAGCAAACGCAAUAAGUAAUCCACCUGGGGAGUACGACCGCAAGGUUGAAACUCAAAGGAAUUGACGGGGGCCCGCACAAGCAGUGGAGUAUGUGGAUUAAUUCGAAGCAACGCGAAGAACCUUACCAGGUCUUGACAUCGUAUGCAUAGCUCAGAGAUGAGUGAAAUCUCUUCGGAGACAUAUAGACAGGUGGUGCAUGGUUGUCGUCAGCUCGUGUCGUGAGAUGUUGGGUUAAGUCCCGCAACGAGCGCAACCCUUACUGUUAGUUGCUACGCAAGAGCACUCUAGCAGGACUGCCGUUGACAAAACGGAGGAAGGUGGGGAUGACGUCAAAUCAUCAUGCCCCUUAUGACCUGGGCCUCACACGUACUACAAUGGCUGUCAACAGAGGGAAGCAAAGCCGCGAGGUGGAGCGAACCCCUAAAAGCAGUCUUAGUUCGGAUUGUAGGCUGCAACCCGCCUACAUGAAGUCGGAAUUGCUAGUAAUCGCAGAUCAGCAUGCUGCGGUGAAUACGUUCCCGGGCCUUGUACACACCGCCCG
rnacentral:rRNA from 1 species